rnacentral:rRNA from 1 species
UACGUAGGGCGCAAGCGUUGUCCGGAUUUAUUGGGCGUAAAGAGCUCGUAGGCGGUUUGUCGCGUCUUCCGUGAAAACUGGGGGCUUAACUUCCAGCUUGCGGUGGAUACGGGCUGACUGGAGUGCGGCAGGGGAGACUGGAAUUCAUGGUGUAGCAGUGAAAUGCGUAGAGAUCAUGAGGAAGACCAGUGGCGAAGGCGGGUCUCUGGACAGUUCCUGACACUGAGGCACGAAGGCCAGGGGAGCAAACGGG